AGAAGUAAAAAGGGCCGUCGCAAGAUCUUAUGGCCAACCAUCUCAGUCUCAAAAUCUUAAUACUGGUUAUGGCAGAAAGCGAAAUAUGGACCAGCAAGAUGCUGAUGAUCAAUCCCAGAUCUCAAAUAGUGAACCUAAUGGAGGGAUGUCUUAGCCCUGAAAUCAGACAAGAAGCGAAGCAGAAUACAAAUGAAAAGUUUGAAUUCUUGUUGAGCCUGCAUGAAUAAAAGAAUGCAUUGAAAAUAAUAAA